rnacentral:rRNA from 1 species
AAAUUGAAGAGUUUGAUCAUGGCUCAGAUUGAACGCUGGCGGCAGGCCUAACACAUGCAAGUCGAGCGGAAACGGCAGCAUUGAAGCUUCGGUGGAUUUGCUGGACGUCGAGCGGCGGACGGGUGAGUAACGGCUGGGAACCUGCCCUGACGAGGGGGAUAACCGUUGGAAACGACGGCUAAUACCGCAUAAUGUCUUAGUUCAUUACGAGCUGGGAC